CGCUCGAGCGGCGGGAUGUUGCGGACGCAGAUGCGGAGUCCGAAGUUUUGAGGAAGAGGCGUCGGGAGGCGGAAGCUGAGAGCCGGCAACUUCGUCGAGCGCUCGAGGAUGUGCUGCAGAAGAAGGAAGAGCUAGAACAAGACAUAGAGAAUCUGAAGCAGUCCUGGUCGAAGGACGGGGUAGAUAACUCUAGGUUGGAGGG
rnacentral:lncRNA from 1 species